CCUACGGGAGGCAGCAGUGAGGAAUAUUGGUCAAUGGCCGGAAGGCUGAACCAGCCAAGCCGCGUGAAGGACGAAGGUGCCAAGCAUUGUAAACUUCUUUUGUCAAGGGACAAAAUCAGGCUCGAGAGCCUGACCGAGGGUACUUGAAGAAAAAGCAUCGGCUAACUCCGUGCCAGCAGCCGCGGUAAUACGGAGGAUGCGAGCGUUAUCCGGAUUUAUUGGGUUUAAAGGGUGCGUAGGCGGACUGUUAAGUCAGCGGGAAAAGCCCGGGGCUCAACCCCGGCGAGCCGUGGAAACUGGCUGUCUUGAGAUGUCGAGAGGUAUGCGGAAUGCGCAGUGUAGCGGUGAAAUGCUUAGAUAUUGCGCAGAACUCCGAUUGCGAAGGCAGCAUACCGGCGGCGAUCUGACGCUGAGGCACGAAAGCGUGGGUAUCGAACAGGAUUAGAUACCCCUGUAGUC
rnacentral:rRNA from 1 species